rnacentral:rRNA from 1 species
UACGUAGGGUGCAAGCGUUGUCCGGAAUUAUUGGGCGUAAAGAGCUCGUAGGCGGUUUGUCGCGUCUGCUGUGAAAACUCGAGGCUCAACCUCGGGCUUGCAGUGGGUACGGGCAGACUAGAGUGCGGUAGGGGAGACUGGAAUUCCUGGUGUAGCGGUGGAAUGCGCAGAUAUCAGGAGGAACACCGAUGGCGAAGGCAGGUCUCUGGGCCAUAACUGACGCUGAGGAGCGAAAGCGUGGGGAGCGAACAGG